AUCCAGCACCAAGCUGCCGUCUUCCAGCACCUCACUCACAGCCAGAGAUCUUUGCUCACAGCGCCCACGUGUGCUGGACCCAGUUUGGGCAUGAUCCCUCGGUUGGCUUCGUUACUGCAGAAGCAGGCCCUUUGGUCCUGUGAUUAUUUGCCUUGGCUCGUGCAAUGUUAUGACAGUAUCUGCCUCCACCAAGGAUUUCCAAAUUGCAACCAAAAUUGGUGGAAAAAAAUCCUCAAUAUAAAAAUGGAUCCAUUCCGUGAGGGUGUCGAAUGUCAUGUGGGGACCUUCUGAAGUUCAGCUGGAAGGGCACCAAUUGCCUGGUCUCUCCACAGAUAUUGACACAGUUGACCAGCGCCUCCACAAAUUUGAGACGCAAGUCCCUGGGUGAUGCGCAGAUUGACCAUGGAAUUCUUCAGGGUUUUUACAAUGCCGUGCCGUGGACUGCUGAUUGAUACAGGGCAGAAACACACAUUUGCCCCACUGUCCACGUUGACCACCCCGUACACAUCUAUACUAUUCCCUAUAUCCUAGGGAGUAACCUCUUGCAAGUUCUCAGUGACGACCAAGUGACUGGGGAAUUAUCUAUCUUGUGGUGUAGGGCAGACAUCUAACUUUAGAAUAUCAAACACGUGAGAUAUUAUAG